AUGAACGCUGGCGGCGUGCCUAAUACAUGCAAGUCGAGCGAACAGAUAAGGAGCUUGCUCCUUUGACGUUAGCGGCGGACGGGUGAGUAACACGUGGGUAACCUACCUAUAAGACUGGGAUAACUUCGGGAAACCGGAGCUAAUACCGGAUAAUAUUUCGAACCGCAUGGUUCGAUAGUGAAAGAUGGUUUUGCUAUCACUUAUAGAUGGACCCGCGCCGUAUUAGCUAGUUGGUAAGGUAACGGCUUACCAAGGCGACGAUACGUAGCCGACCUGAGAGGGUGAUCGGCCACACUGGAACUGAGACACGGUCCAGACUCCUACGGGAGGCAGCAGUAGGGAAUCUUCCGCAAUGGGCGAAAGCCUGACGGAGCAACGCCGCGUGAGUGAUGAAGGUCUUCGGAUCGUAAAACUCUGUUAUUAGGAAAGAACAUACGUGUAAGUAACUGUGCACGUCUUGACGGUACCUAAUCAGAAAGCCACGGCUAACUACGUG
rnacentral:rRNA from 1 species